AUAACAGGCUGAUACCGCCCAAGAGUUCAUAUCGACGGCGGUGUUUGGCACCUCGAUGUCGGCUCAUCUCAUCCUGGGGCUGAAGCAGGUCCCAAGGGUAUGGCUGUUCGCCAUUUAAAGAGGUACGCGAGCUGGGUUUAGAACGUCGUGAGACAGUUCGGUCCCUAUCUACCGUGGGCGCUGGAAAUUUGAGAGGAUCUGCUCCUAGUACGAGAGGACCAGAGUGGACGAACCUCUGGUGUACCGGUUGUGACGCCAGUCGCAUCGCCGGGUAGCUAUGUUCGGAAGGGAUAACCGCUGAAAGCAUCUAAGCGGGAAGCCUACCUCAAGAUAAGAUUUCCCUAGGACUUUAUGUCCUCUAAAGAGCCGUUCGAGACUAGGACGUUGAUAGGUUGGAUGUGGAAGCAUAGUGAUAUGUGAAGCUGACCAAUACUAAUUGCUCGUGAGGCUUGACUAU
rnacentral:rRNA from 1 species